UACGUAGGGUGCAAGCGUUAAUCGGAAUUACUGGGCGUAAAGCGUGCGCAGGCGGUUUUGUAAGUCUGUCGUGAAAUCCCCGGGCUCAACCUGGGAAUUGCGAUGGAGACUGCAAGGCUAGAAUCUGGCAGAGGGGGGGUAGAAUUCCACGUGUAGCAGUGAAAUGCGUAGAGAUGUGGAGGAACACCGGAUGGCGAAGGCAGCCCCCCUGGGUCAAGAUUGACGCUCAUGCACGAAAGGCGUGGGGGAGCAAACAAGG
rnacentral:rRNA from 1 species